AUGUGAUUUCUGGGAAGAAAGGAUGCACAUGUCUGGUGUCCUCGAUAAGGUACGGUAGCAGUCUCCAUUUGAUGUGUGAAGAAAUUGCCUGGGGAAAGCUAAAUAACUCACCGUAAGGACUUAAGGAUGAAGAGAAGCUUAGAAUGCAGUUGAGGUGGCUUGAUACUUGGUAAUAAGCUAGGUGUAGUCACUGAACCAUGUCAGUUACUCUACUAAAGCAGAUUAAAACAUCCUCCACACAAGGUAUACAGAUCUCUAUCUGGGCUAUUUGGCUUUCUCAACCUUAGUCAUAGUUCAGAGAGAAGUGAACCAGGGCUUUCUGAAGAAUCUAGAAUAUUGGUCCUCUGUAUUAGAGAGUUCCUGGUAUCAGAAUAAGUAGGUAACAAAUGGCAAGUACUUGGAAUCUUUAGUAAAUAAAUGUGUCCCAGAGGACAGGAAAGAUGACCAAGUUUCAAGAGCCUGACACAUCAAUCAAGUUUGAAUAUGCUAGGAAUGCCCUCUCAAGAAGAGAAUGUGUAUGGCUUUUUUCUGCUGCCACCACAAGGAAAGAAUCACAUUGGCUAUUAGCUAGCUUCUUCUAGCAUAUGCUGCUUACAUUUGAAAGUCCUGUUUGUUUCACUUGGUGGAAGGUAUGGAUGGACAGCAGCUCUUUGAUCAGGGCUCAGCAGACAAAAAUCCUUUAGCAAGUCCAGGCUGCUGUGCCAGUCACCCUGACAUGUGCAUCCUGUCACUCAGCAAAGAAGACACAAGUGUUGUCCUUGUGGGGCCAGGUAGAGACACCAUGUGGCUGUGAUCUACAUUUGCUCUGAACCACCAGGAAGCUUUACUCGAAGUGCAUGCACAGUAAAAUGAAAGUGCUACUGGCAGGUUGUUGGGGAGAAGGGUGAAGGUAACUGCAGGUUAAUCAUAUUUUAAGAAUGAAGCUGGUACCAGAGAGAAAAGGAUUACCAAGCUGAGGAAGCAAAGGAAACUCAAGGAUUUGAACACUCCUCUUCCUCCAUUAAUACCUGAGAAAAAUAAGAACAAUACAAGAACCAACAAGCAGAGAUUCAGCGCUGAAAUGUACAUCUUGCAAGUUCAUGGUUUAAGAAGAUAAGAAAAAGCCUGAAAGAGAAAAGCUGAUAAAUUCUGUUACGAAUGAGUCGUGUCAACCAACUCAACUUGGAUUCAGGCACAGAUUAAAGGCUCGACAGCUAAAGACAAGUCAUCCCAAGCUGUCACAGACACUAGGCAAGAGUAAAGGUGGUAGAGUGAAGAUGCGGAGAUGGUGGAAGUUAGGUUUGGAUUUCAACAAGGAGUCAUUAGAAAUGAUGGCAGUGAUGGCUUGCAUGUUGGUAUGGCUGGCAAUUAUAAGAAAUCAGAGAAAACAGAAAAUAGGGCCCCUAGGAAGACUUUUACUUGUAUCAUUGCAGUGAUAAAAAUUACUGAUGGAAAAUUAUAAACUUUUGUCCUAAAAAGGAUGUACAACUUAUGGGUUUCACUUGUGAACAACAUGAUUACAUGUCUUAGAGUAGGGAAUGAGAUGAGUGGUUCUUUUUUCACAGAAAGAAACAGUGAGUUUUAAUGAGCUGUUUCAUUUAUGUUAGAAAUGAGUUCAUUUUCAUUUAUUUUAGAAGUUUAUAAAUCACAGGUGUGAGGUGAGUCUAGAAUAGAGGCAUAUUUCUGUUGAUAACUGGAAUCAAUAAAACUAUGUCCAGUUUGGGAACUGGAUGGAUCGGUGACUCUUUCUUGGGAUAGGUAAGAGUGUCAGAAAAAUCUGAGGGCAAACCUGAAGCACAAACCAAAUUCUUGUACAUAAUCUGUGUAGUACAUUCUGUGUGGUCAACUACUGUGAUAACGCAACUGGACUCUGCUAACUUGUCUCGCUACAAAUCAGUGCAGUAAUAUAACAAACCAAACCAAACCAAAAGAGAGAGACAGACAGAGACUGAAGUGACAAGAAAUGUUUGUGCUUCCAGAUCCGCUCCAGAUUGGUUUCACUGGAAACUUUCAUUGUCUUUAUUUACAUAAAGUAACAGCAGCUUGCAAUACUAUUUAUUGGCUCAUUACUCCUUAGAGAUGGCUCAGUGCCACUUCACAAGGAUGAGAACCUGAUUCUGGAUUCUUAGCAUGCACACAAAAACAUGCUAAUGCUAGGGAGGCAGAGGGGAGGAUCUGGGAACUUGCUGACCAAUUAGUCUACUCAAAACAUUGAGCCAGCUCCAGGUUCAGUGAGAGACUCUGCCUUCAAAAAUAAGGUGGAGAGUGAAUAAUGUCAACUUUUGACCUCCACACACAUAUAUGUGGGAGUGCUGGUUUUCCACUCUAGACAUGCACAUGUAUACCACACACACACACACACACACACACACACACACACACACUUUUUUCCCUCAAAUCCCUUCUGCCUGUACUUCCUAUUGAAGCAAAGAGAAUGAUUUGAAAAAGUUGGUUGGCUGUUCCUAUGAAUUGGAUCUCAUUCAUUAUGACUGAAGGCACUAUCAGUAUAAACUGUGGAAACUGAGGCCCCUCUAUUGGAAGAACCAGAAAUCUUGUUGCAAUGUGGAUUUAUAAGCAGUGGUUAUUUUGUCAAGCCAAUGCUGAUGGUAAGCAAUGCCUUUUAGCUGCAUAAAAAGAAACAGAUCCAAGGCUGGGAAGAUGGCUAUGAAGCAGCAGUGAAGAGCACUGGCAGCUCUUCCAUAGGAUUUAGAUUUUAUUCUCAGUACCCAGAUGGCAGCUCACAACCAUCUAUAACUCCAGUCCCAGGGGAUCCAUCACUCUCUUCUGGCCUGUAAGCCCACUGCACGGAUGUGGUGGGAAUACACUUAUACACAUAAAUAAAAUUUCAAAAAGGAGAAACACUUCAGUUAAAAAUUGUUAGAGACAUACUAAAAUAAAAAAUGCUCUUGAUUGAAUUAUGAU